rnacentral:rRNA from 1 species
UGGGGAAUCUUGGACAAUGGGGGCAACCCUGAUCCAGCCAUUCCGCGUGAGUGAUGACGGCCCUAGGGUUGUAAAGCUCUUUCAACGGUGAAGAUAAUGACGGUAACCGUAGAAGAAGCCCCGGCUAACUUCGUGCCAGCAGCCGCGGUAAUACGAAGGGGGCUAGCGUUGUUCGGAAUUACUGGGCGUAAAGCGCACGUAGGCGGAUUGUUAAGUUAGGGGUGAAAUCCCGAGGCUCAACCUCGGAACUGCCUUUAAUACUGGCAAUCUAGAGAUCUAGAGAGGUGAGUGGAAUUCCGAGUGUAGAGGUGAAAUUCGUAGAUAUUCGGAGGAACACCAGUGGCGAAGGCGGCUCACUGGCUAGAUACUGACGCUGAGGUGCGAAAGUGUGGGGAGCAAACAGGAUUAGAUACCCCCGUAGUCC